rnacentral:rRNA from 1 species
UGCCUUAUAGUGGGGGAGUAGCCUUUCGAAAGGAAGAUUAAUACCGCAUAAGAUUGUAGUAUCGCAUGAUAUAGCAAUUAAAGGAAGCAAUCCGCUAUAGGAUGGACCCGCGUCGCAUUAGCUAGUUGGUGAGGUGAUGGCUCGCCAAGGCGACGAUGCGUAGCCGACCUGAGAGGGUGAUCGGCCACAUUGGGACUGAGACACGGCCCAGACUCCUACGGGAGGCAGCAUG